UACGUAGGCAGCGAGCGUUGUUCGGAGUUACUGGGCGUAAAGGGUGUGUAGGCGGUUUUCUAAGUUUGGUGUGAACUCUCCCGCUUAACCGGGAGGGUGCGCCGAAAACUGGGAGACUAGAGUGCGGGAUGGGAGAGUAGAAUUCCUGGUGUAGCGGUGGAAUGCGCAGAUAUCAGGAGGAACACCAAUAGCGAAGGCAGCUCGCUGGGACGGUACUGACGCUAAGGCGCGAAAGCGUGGGGAGCGAACAGG
rnacentral:rRNA from 1 species